rnacentral:rRNA from 1 species
AAUAGAUACCCCGGUAGUCCACGCCGUAAACGAUGGGUACUAGGUGUAGGGGGUAUCGACUCCCCCUGUGCCGCCGUUAACACAAUAAGUACCCCGCCUGGGGAGUACGGUCGCAAGAUUAAAACUCAAAGGAAUUGACGGGGGCCCGCACAAGCAGCGGAGCAUGUGGUUUAAUUCGAAGCAACGCGAAGAACCUUACCUAGACUUGACAUCUCCUGCAUUACUCUUAAUCGAGGAAGUUCUCCCUUCGGGGAGAACAGGAAGACAGGUGGUGCAUGGUUGUCGUCAGCUCGUGUCGUGAGAUGUUGGGUUAAGUCCCGCAACGAGCGCAACCCUUAUUGUUAGUUGCUACCAUUUAGUUGAGCACUCUAGCAAGACUGCCGUGGUUAACGCGGAGGAAGGUGGGGAUGACGUCAAAUCAUCAUGCCCCUUAUGUCUAGGGCUACACACGUGCUACAAUGGCGAGUACAAAAAGCGCAAAGCCGCGAGGUGGAGCAAAACUUNUAAAACUCGUCUCAGUUCGGAUUGCAGGCUGAAACUCGCCUGC